rnacentral:misc_RNA from 1 species
AAAGUCGUAACAAGGUUUCCGUAGGUGAACCUGCGGAAGGAUCAUUAGUAUGAUGCAUAUGGCAUUCAUUAUCAAUGGAUGAACAUAUAAACCCACCUGCGUACCACUCCUGUUGCUUCCGUGGGGCGGUGACCGAUGUCGCCGCCGAAGGGGAAGGCUCCGGCCAUCCGAAGGCGAGACCCCACGGGAGGUAUAACAUAAACUACUUGCAUCUUCAUGCUCUUAGUCUGUACAUAAUCCAUAAACAUUAAAACUUUCAACAACGGAUCUCUUGGUUCUC